ACGGGGUGCAGCGGGCGCGAAACCUUUGCAAUGUGCGCAAGCACGACAAGGUUAAUCCGAGUGUUUCCUGCUAAAGGAAUCUUUUGUUAGUCGUAAAACCACUGAUGAAUAAGGGGUGGGCAAGUUCUGGUGUCAGCCGCCGCGGUAAAACCAGCACCUCAAGUGGUCAGGAGGAUUAUUGGGCCUAAAGCAUCCGUAGCCGGCUCUGCAAGUUUUCGGUUAAAUCCAUUUGCUUAACAAAUGGGCUGCCGAAAAUACUACAUAGCUAGGGAGUGGGAGAGGUAGACGGUAUUCGGUAGGAAGGGGUAAAAUCCUUUGAUCUAUUGAGGACCACCUAUGGCGAAGGCAGUCUACCAGAACACGUUCGACGGUGAGGGAUGAAAGCUGGGGGAGCAAACCGGAUUAGAUACCCGGGUAGUCCCAGCUGUAAACGAUGCAGACUCGGUGAUGCACUGGCUUGUGGCCAGCGCAGUGCCGCAGGGAAGCCGUUAAGUUUGCCGCCUGGGAAGUACGUACGCAAGUAUGAAACUUAAAGGAAUUGGCGGGGGAGCAC
rnacentral:rRNA from 2 species